AUGGUACUCCCUCCGUCCAACAAAAGAUGUCUCAAAGUUUGUCAAAAAUUGGAUGUAUCUAGACAUGACUUAGUGUAUAGAUGCAUUCAAAUUUAGUUAAAGUUGAGACAUUUUUUGUUGGACGGAGGAAGUAGGAU
rfam:Brachypodium distachyon strain Bd21 chromosome 2, whole genome shotgun sequence.